rnacentral:rRNA from 1 species
UACGGAGGGUGCAAGCGUUAGUCGGAAUUACUGGGCGUAAAGGGUGCGUAGGCGGAUAAGUAAGUCAGACGUGAAAUUCCGGGGCUCAACCCCGGAGCUGCAUCUGAAACUGCAUAUCUAGCAGGAUGGCGGAGAAAACGGAAUUCCAUGUGUAGCGGUGAAAUGCGUAGAUAUAUGGAGGAACACCGGUGGCGAAGGCGGCAUCCUGGACCGGUAUUGACGCUGAGGCGCGAAAGCCAGGGGAGCAAACGGG